rnacentral:rRNA from 1 species
CACUUAGGGCGCGAGCGUUGUCCGGAAUUAUUGGGCGUAAAGAGCUCGUAGGCGGCCUGUUGCGUCCGCUGUGAAAGCCCGGGGCUUAACUCCGGGCCUGCAGUCGAUACGGGCUGGCUUGAGUGCGGUAGGGGAGACUGGAAUUCCUGGUGUAGCGGUGAAAUGCGCAGAUAUCAGGAGGAACACCGGUGGCGAAGGCGGGUCUCUGGGCCGUAACUGACGCUGAGGAGCGAAAGCGUGGGGAGCGAACAGG